GCCUCCGCGCCGGCGGCCUGUUUCCGGCGGAAACGCGGGCCAGAGCGGCCUCUAUUGUUGCUGUGUCAUAGGGGAGCGGCGGCGGCCCCUGGCGGCAGCGCCGGGAACGGCGGGUCGGCCUCGGCAGACACGCAGCAGGGCCCCCGCGGGGCGGCGCUGCGGGUCGAGGCCGGACCCGGUGGUGGGCGCCGGACGGUGCAGCGACGUGCCCGUGGGGCCGGCUGACGUGCACCCAGGGACGGGCGUCCGCAGCGGUUACCCACUCGGUUCUGCAUGGAGCCAGCUCUGCACACCCGCGGGAAGGCAGCCUGUCUGACUGGCAUUAUUCGGUGAGCUCUGAGAUGUCAGGGCCUGAGACAUGAAAUAGUCACGUGGUUGAAAAGGUAGGAGGCAGUCUCAUGGCACCCGAGCGGGGAAGAUGUCAGCUUCAUGUCACUUGGUGAUAAUUUGACAUACCUUUCUGCAAAGUACAAGAGGCUGCUCGGGGCAGGGGCGGAGGGAGGGCAGCGUGGGGGUUGCUCAACGCGGCAAGAGCGGAGUUCACACAGCCCCAAGGGUCCUUGGUCCUGAGUAAGGGGUCCAGGGGCUGCAUGUGGCUGGCCGGAUGGAGUGCGGCUGCCUUCCCCGAGGGCAGGGGUGCCUGUAAAAUGGAAAGCCCAAGAGUCCUCACAUUGUUCUCUCACACUCCACUUUGCUUCAUCUUUGACAGUUUUGAGGAAGUGAGCAGUAGUUCCUGCUUGGUAGCCCCCAGGCCUAUCCUCCAUCCCUGAGUCUCUGGCUUCCCACAGCAUACUUCACAAUUUACGGCUUGAGGUCUCCUUUCUAACACUAACAUUUGAUGGCCUGGAUGUACCUCUGCUUGCUUGCUGAAGGAGUUCAUGGUUUCUUCCAAGUACCUGUCAUUAUGAUCACAGCUACUGUAAACAUCUGUGUGCAAGCUCGUAUGGACAUAAUGCUCUCUGUUUAGGUAAAUACAAAAGUCUGGUUGCUGGGUUGUUG